UGAGUAAUACGUGAGUAACCUGCCCUUGACUCUGGGAUAAGCCUGGGAAACUGGGUCUAAUACUGGAUACUACCUCUUACCGCAUGGUGGGUGGUGGAAAGGGUUUUACUGGUUUUGGAUGGGCUCACGGCCUAUCAGCUUGUUGGUGGGGUAAUGGCUCACCAAGGCGACGACGGGUAGCCGGCCUGAGAGGGUGACCGGCCACACUGGGACUGAGACACGGCCCAGACUCCUACGGGAGGCAGCAGUGGGGAAUAUUGCACAAUGGGCGGAAGCCUGAUGCAGCGACGCCGCGUGAGGGAUGACGGCCUUCGGGUUGUAAACCUCUUUCAGUAGGGAAGAAGCGAGAGUGACGGUACCUGCAGAAGAAGCGCCGGCUAACUACGUGCCAGCAGCCGCGGUAAUACGUAGGGCGCAAGCGUUGUCCGGAAUUAUUGGGCGUAAAGAGCUCGUAGGCGGUUUGUCGCGUCUGCUGUGAAAGCCCGGGGCUCAACCCCGGGUCUGCAGUGGGUACGGGCAGACUAGAGUGCAGUAGGGGAGACUGGAAUUCCUGGUGUAGCGGUGAAAUGCGCAGAUAUCAGGAGGAACACCGAUGGCGAAGGCAGGUCUCUGGGCUGUUACUGACGCUGAGGAGCGAAAGCAUGGGGAGCGAACAGGAUUAGAUACCCUGGUAGUCCAUGC
rnacentral:rRNA from 1 species